AUUUAUAUAGUUUAUUAAAACCUUACAUUUUCACUGUAAAAAUAAAGAAUUUUCUUUUAUAAAUU
rnacentral:tRNA from 1 species